GAAUGUAUACAAAAUUAUAACAAAACAAAACUUUCAACAACGGAUCUCUUUGUUUUCUCGCCUCCAUGAAGAACACAGCGAAAUGCGAUACGUAAUGUGAAUUGCAGAAUUCAGUGAAUCAUCGAGUCGUGGAGCGCACCUUGCGCUCCUUGGUAUUCCGAGGAGCAUGCCUGUUUGAGUGUCAUGAAAUCUUCAACCCACCUCUUUCUUAAUGAAUCUGGGGGGGCUUGGUUUCUGAGCGCUGCUCUGCUUCGGCUUAACUCGCUCGUAAUGCAUUAACAUCCGCAACCCAACUUCGGAUUGACUUUGGGUAAUAAAAUAUUCGCUGAGGAAUCUAGUCUCGUACAAAAGCCGGUUUGGUUAAAGGAAGCUUCUAAUCCCAAAGUCUAUUUUUUUGAUUAGAUCUCAAAUCCGG
rnacentral:rRNA from 1 species